rnacentral:misc_RNA from 1 species
UACAGAAUUGGGAUGCUUGAAUGAAAAUCAUCACCAUAAUAACAAUAAAAGUGAGAAUGAAGGAGAAAUCGAAUUUACAUUUUAUUGCACCUUUUAAAAAGAUUACAUGGCUAUCAGGAUUAUCAGAAUGGAGGGAAAGAAGAAAAAGAAAUGAAAAAUCUAUUCAAAAUUGGUUUCUUUCAAAAAAAUGAGGUUUCCUCAUGGGUUAGGAGAUGGAUCUGGUGCUUUGAUGGAGAGCAAUAUAUACAGGAUGUGCAACCUAAUUCAUGAACUUCCUACAGUUGGGCGCUCCACAUAGACAAGGGACCUUCAAUUCAUCAUGCUCAUCUGGAUCAAACAAGUAAUCAUACGUUAGCUCAUCCCCUCCAGAGACAUUGGUUUUAGCAAUAAGAACUAUACGGUUCUCCACAUCACCAACACUCAUUAUCCUUGCAUAGCAGUUGGGCAUACACGAAUGAUUGAUCAUGCGUGCUAUAUUCCCCUUAUUGGUGGCAUCAAUAACUACUUCCUCACUGAUCUUAAACAGAUAGCAAUCUUUGCCUUGUAAACGGUAUUGUGCCUCCCUAAGAUCUGCAACACUCCGCCUCACCUGCUCACCACGAUACUCAAUGAUCAUUUCUCCCUCUUGAAUGUUUCGGCAUGCAAACAGGCCCCAUCCAUGUAUGCCAGAUUUACCAAAACAAACUCGAUGACUUUCAGUUUUUUGCAAAUGGUAGAGCCGUUCCUUAAAUGAAGAGAAGACAGUGGAACCUUCCAUUUCCUUAUAGGUGCUCAAGCUACUUAUUUCAUCUAAAGAAUGAUGUCUUGGUCCCAUCAGUAGGUGGAAUAUUGGCUCCUUUUCAGCCCUCUUAUUGUAUGAUCUUUUAAAAGCACAGCAUCUGGCAGCAGAGAGAGGCUCCUUGUUAGUCUCUGAGGUACAGGGUUCAGGAAGUUCCAUUCCCCUAGAUGAAACCAACCUUGAACCACUGAAACAUUCAUUCUGGUUCUGAUUCUGAAGCAAGCUUCUGGCAUCAAAAACCCCUGAAGCAGUACGUACAACUACUACAGAAUCUGGACUUGGUGUCCUGUGAACAGCACAGUAUACUAACUUCUUUAUAACUUGGAUCCCAUUCUUCUCCACGCAGUGCAACUCCAUGUAAUAUCCUGCUCUUGAUGCACACAUUGCAUGAAAAUAGGUGGCACACUUGCAACACUGGAUGCAGGAACCAUGAGUCUGAUUGCAGAUAACACAAUUCUUCAAAAAUGUAGUUGAUGGAAUUCUAAGGAUUCCAGUGGCAGGUUCCAUUUUUUCAUGAUUUAAGAAACCAACUUCAGGUCGAAACCAGGCACAUGUGACAUGAACCCACAGCAUCUCAAUAUCACUUGGCUUUAACGCACCUCCUUUUAGGGGACAAAGACAGCACUCCCUCUCAAUAUCAGGAGUUUCACAUGCUCUGCACACCCAUGAAGUAAGAUCUUCAACGUUCCUUGCUCCAUAGCAUUCUUGGUGGACAGCUAUUUGACACCUGUUGCAGAUUAUAAUUUUGUUAACAUCCCAGUCUUCAACCCAUCUACAAACAGCACAUCUUUCUGUUGUCCAUUUUGCAUACACAGGCUCAUACUUUUCUGUUCAAAUGAAAUAAAUAAAAUCCUAUCAUUCACCUUUUCAUUGAUUAAAAACACUGGAAAAAAGAAAAAGAGGAAAAUUUAAAGCUCCCAACAAGUUCAAGGAAGUAAAUAGUUACCCUGCAGGAAAGAACAUAGCCUCAGCUUAUCUAAUUUCACAGGAUAUACAUCAUGUGCAUUAUAUUCGGCAAUCCAUUUUUCCAACGGUAACAUUGUAUCCUUCACUUUCACACUGCACUUCCACUUUUUAGCUCUGCACCCGGUGUGCCUUUCCCAUUCGCUGGGUGUUUGCUUCCGUGGCCCACAUGAACCACACUUGCACACAAUUAAAUGAAGUCUUGGAAUAUAUGUUCCUUCCAUCCCAUUGCACACCACAGUUACUUCAUCAGGUGGCAUAGCUUGUCCAUUGUUUACUUUAGACCUAAUUAAAAUCAUAUUAUCAAAAUUAAAAACUCCAAGGAGAAAGAGGAAAAUUAAUCUUCAGUAAAUCUACUAUGUUAAAUAAACAAAUAGAUAUGGCUGAAAAAAUCUGAAAUGUACUUGGCUGGUGGCAUCCUCCUUUCUAAAGCCGAUGGUGUGAAUUGAAACUUUACUUUGCAAUCAGGACAAUAAUAUUUAUUUUUUGCCAGAUUCUUCAACCAUAAAAAAUCAGUUAGCCUCCAUUUUCCAUCAAUUGUAGCAAUUCACAAAACAGAAAACAGAAUGCAGGCUUGUAAAUAUCAUGUGUAGACACACCUUGAAUAGUUUGUGGGAAAUAUUGUCACACUCAGCAUGCACCCAAACAUUACAACCAUCGCAACAUACCCAGUUCCCACCAUCUGAAUGGUGCCAAAUCUUAUUGCAUAUGCCACAACAUUGUUUUGAUUUUCUUAACUUAGCGCAAUGUUUACAUAUAAGCUCUGUUUGCAUUAUUGACGCCUUCCUUUUCUUGAUAGUUUUGCAGGGCAAGAUUAGGUUACAACCGCCACAACGCCUCAUAUCCUUGUAACAUGCAUCCUGGUACUGAGCAUUGUCUCCAUCUUGACUGGAACUACAGGCCUCUUGGAACCCACUGUGGUGAGUUUCUGGAUGUGCACUAUGUCCAGCACCACUCCUAGUGUCCAGGAAACCACUUUCAGCUAAAAUUGCCUCUUCUAAUGCCAUCUGAAAGUCACUCAUCUUGCAAUUGUGCAAUUGGGCCUGACCCUGAAAUCUAUCCAUGAAUUCCGCAAAAGGAAAUAUCAUCCCUUGUUUCACCCAGGCAUAGUCCCUUCGUGUUCCGCUUUUAGAAUACCCAUAAAACAUCACACAAAGAGCGCCGCGAAUACAACAACUGAGAACAGCUUCAGGAGCUUGCAAUGUGGGAUUGAUCACAAUGGCAGGCCACCAUGGAUAUCUCUUGCCACAUUUUGCCCAAACUAAAUCUCCCAAAGCAAAGUCUUCCGGCUUGUAAACAUCCUUUCUCUUCCCAGCACCUUCUCUUCUCAAUUUAUCCAAACUCGUAUAUCCAAAUCUGGAAGCAUACUCCUCACUGUCUAUCAAUGAACUAUGCGACCUCAAAUUAUUUGCAUAACAGUUUUUAUAACCAAAACUCUUGAACCCUGCAGUGCCUACUUCCCUAUUUCCUUCCGGUUUACAAAAAGGAUAGGAAUUAGAACUCCUAAAUCCAAACUUAUCCUUUACAAAUUCCGUUUUACUGUAUUUACAUCUCUUAAGAUCAAAAUCCUCUCUAUCUUCUAAAAAUUCAUCAUCCUCAAAGCUCGAAUCAGUGUCAUCAGGUCUGCAUUGCCCAUUCUUUGACAUAUAAAUAAUCGAGUCAUUAAACCUCGACGGAAGCACCUGGACUCGCCCCCGCGAAGUUCUCAAUACUGGCGGCCUAGACCUCUCUAUGCUCCGAUUCUUCCAUUUCUUUGAGUCGGAUUGUACCUCACUAGCGCAAUAGGAUCUCUCGCCGACGCAAGAACCGGAACCACUGCUAAAAUCAUCAACUUCACUGCACAUUCCAAUUGAACAUGAAUCGUAUCCGUUGGUUUUUCGUUUCUUUGGGAUCAGCAAACACUCGCAGUCGUCCUCGUAUUCACUGCAAGGAUCUCCCAUCUUACAUCGCUUCAGAUUAGGCAUUUCGACUUUCAUAGUUUUUUUCUUUUUUAAAGUCAUCCUCCAAGCAUUCGCUUGCAAUGAAUUUCCUCAACACCCAACGAGCCAAACCCUAAUUUCAGAUCAGAUAGCAAAAGUUUGAAUCGGACUUGUAAGAUUCUGAUUAUAUACACUUCAAAUUUGAAUAAAAAGAUCCUGUGACACGACCCCUGCUUGGGUCGGUGACUAUGUAUAAACCCUAAACUUCGAUGCGAAACCCUAAUUGAAGUAAUCAGAGAAACGGAAACCUGUAAAAUUCGCAAGUUUCAAUUUUUCUUAUUCGGAAUAAGAAAACAAACGAACAAACAAAACUUGCGCUUCCACUCUUCGAAUUUAUAGUGCGAGAGAGCGAAAACCAAUUGGGUCUGGGAAAACCCCUAAAAACAAAUCCACUGGAGAACCAAAUUCAAUGGAGGAUUGCGGGGAAACAAACUUGAGCUGCGCAGGACUCAAGGUUUCAGGUUUGCAAACUAACAACGAAUAAAGAAUCCUAAUACAAAAAAAAUAACGAAUAAAGAACGGGUUAAAAAUUUAAACACACACUAAUAUAUGUAUAACAAAUGUUAUUUAACUAGAGGCAGCGGUGGCGGGGCUUGGCUCCAAAUAUUUGGGGGACGGAAAUUGAAAAGAGAGGAAGGGAAUAAAAAUUGAUUUGGAAAAGCGCCAAGGCAAACAAAC